AGCGAACGCUGGCGGCAGGCCUAAAACAUGCAAGUCGAACGGAUCCUUCGGGAUUAGUGGCGGACGGGUGAGUAACACGUGGAACGUGCCUUUUGGUUCGGAACAACUCAGGGAAACUUGAGCUAAUACCGAAUGUGCCCUUCGGGGAAAGAUUUAUCGCCACUAGAGCGGCCCGCGUCUGAUUAGCUUGUUGGUGAGGUAAAGGCUCACCAAGGCGACGAUCAGUAGCUGGUCUGAGAGGAUGAUCAGCCACACUGGGACUGAGACACGGCCCAGACUCCUACGGGAGGCAGCAGUUAGG
rnacentral:rRNA from 1 species